UGAACCAUCAGUUGUCUUGUAAUUCUGAGGUUGGUGGAUGUGGGAAGCUUAACUACAUCCAUCAUAUUCUCUCAACUCCACCGCAUGUGUUUACAACAGUUUUAGGUUGGCAAAAUACUUGUGAGAGUGUAGGUGACAUAACAGCAACAUUAUCAGCUCUUUCUACUGAGGUGGACAUAGGUGUACUUUAUCAUGGUCUAGCUCCUAAAAACAAACAUCGCUUGAUUUCAAUGGUUUGCUUAUGGGCAGCA
rnacentral:misc_RNA from 1 species